CUACGGGCUGCAGCAGUGGGGAAUAUUGCACAAUGGGGGAAACCCUGAUGCAGCAACGCCGCGUGGAGGAUGACGCAUUUCGGUGUGUAAACUCCUUUUAUAUAGGAAGAUAAUGACGGUACUAUAUGGAUAAGCACCGGCUAACUCCGUGCCAGCAGCCGCGGUAAUACGGAGGGUGCAAGCGUUACUCGGAAUCACUGGGCGUAAAGCGCGCGCAGGCGGCCUUUUAAGUUGGAUGUGAAAGCCUACGGCUCAACCGUAGAACUGCAUCCAAAACUACUAGGCUAGAGUCUGGGAGGGGAAGAUGGAAUUAGUUGUGUAGGGGUAAAAUCCGUAGAGAUAACUAGGAAUACCAAAAGCGAAGGCAAUCUUCUGGAACAGUACUGACGCUGAGGCGCGAAAGCGUGGGGAGCAAACAGGAUUAGAUACCCCGGUAGUC
rnacentral:rRNA from 1 species